AAGCCAGCCUGUGUGAGCGGCCACCAGCGGCCAGGCAGCCCUCAGCCUGGUGUCCCCGAGCAAGCCCACCAGCCAGGUCGCGGGCCCUGACUGCUGUCUGCUGUAUCCCCGCCUCCCCGGGACAGCGUACCUGAGGCCCUGCCAAGCUGCCCUUCCUGCUGGCGGUCCCUGCUCUGCCCCGCUGCCCUGUCGCGAUAGCUGGUGAGCCUGGCUCACGGGGCCUCAGACCUGCCAGGACCAUCUCACCACCUUGCCUGCUGACAGAGCCUCAAACCAGGCCCCUCCGCCCACCUGCCAAGAGGCCUUGAGCAGGUCGUGGCCCCUCUCCUGGUCUUCUUCACUUCCCCCCUUGUGAAACGGGGCUGACUCUGCCUUCUCACAGGCUGCUGCAAAGGAGAAAUAGGAGUGCAUUUGGAAUCAUCCGGUAUACAGUAGGUGCUCAAUAGGCACGUAUGCCUUUCUGCCCUUUUCCUGCCCUCCCGAGGGAGUGGCCACCCUGGCCUUGUCCCCGAGGCCCUGCCCCCAGCUUUCUUC
rnacentral:lncRNA from 1 species